UUGAAGGAUAAGGAAAAAUAUACUCUUGUGAUUAAAGCAUAUUAGCAUCAUUAAGAUUUGGAGGUUGUUUCCAGCUCUGCCACAGCCUUCUUGUGUGCAAAGAACCUGCUCUCCUUGCAGGGCUUCUCAUCUCCUACAUGUAAAGCCCGAUCCUCAUCUCAGUGGAGAGCUGUGAGCUGUUGCCUGCAGCACACCCAGGGAAGGACUUUGCCCCGGGACCCUCCACGAUUGCCAUAGAUGCUGCAGGACAGCAACAGCUUGCUUGGAUUUAAGACUUGUUUUUUUCUUUCUUUGGCAUUUGCCAUUGUUUCACCUGUGAGAGAUGAAGACAGAGGAUGCCAACUGCCUUCUCCCAGCCAGCCCUGCUCAGCAGAGGAGCGGUGCUCCAGGCCUUGGAUCAUCUUCAUGGCUUCCUCAAGACUCACUCAAGCAGGUCCACAACCUUCUUAUGCUGGGGUCCCCAGCACUGGAUGCAGUACUGCAGGUGGGGUCUCACAAGACCUCCCUCAACCUGCUGAUCACACUUCUUUUGCUGCAGCCCAGGAUAUAGUUGGAUUGCUGGGCUGUAAGUGCACAUUGCCUGUUCAUGUUGAGCUUCUUAAUCAGCACCCCAAGUCCUUCUCCUCAAGGCUGGUCUAAAUAUGUUCUCCACCCAGCCUGCAUUUGUGCUUGGCAUUGCCCCAGCCCAGGUGUAGGACCUUGCACUUGGCCACAAACCUCUACAUGCUUUAAAGAGGAAAAAUGGUGACUUGCAUAAAGUUCUGUUUGAAGCCUCAAUUCAAAGCAGCACCACAGCCUCAGUGUAAUGCUGUGGUGCAGGGGUGAUGCUCAGGAGGCAUAGCAGACACAAGCAGAUCCCAGAGAGAAAAUAACUCCAACAGGCUUCUGGAGACAUAGCAGAAAACCAUGAUGUACCAGUUCUUGGAGCUACCUGCAGAGAAGACACACAGCCACAGGCUCUCUUGGCAGUCACUUGGUGGGUUACCUACAUGCAGCAGGGUAGGAUGGAUAGCUAUUCCACCUGCAGGUGGAGGUGCACAAAUACGGGAAUGUGUAACACAACAGCAGCAAAAUCUGCAGUUUAAAAACCAGCUGAGCUACAUCACAGUUGUUUCAGCACAUACAGGCCUGAAGUUACCAGCAAAAAAAACCACCCAGUGAAUAACCUUGCCAUUUGCAACAGGUGCUGUGAAGAAACUACAAUAAAACUUCCCUUUCAAACAUG